AAAGUAAAAAAUUACUUUACUUUCCUAUCUUCAUUCCUUUAGUCCGAGAAACCCACAGUCUUUAGUUUCUGCACUCGGCUUUUCUAUUUUUCUUCAUCCCCCAGAAAACUCACACACAAUCUCAUUAAGAAAAAAAAAAAAAAUCGGUGCUCCAUCUCCUUGCAUCUCUUACCUCUUCCCUUGCAAACAUAUGAAAGACUAAGGAAAAAUUGCGUUUCAGGUGAGCAGUAGUUUUGCAGAGGAGCUUCACUUGGAAAGCUUGCAGCAUCAAAUAGAAAGUGAUCUUAUGCCAAGUGCCCGAUGUGACCAAAGUGAUUCUUAUGGUAUCCUUUAGUUAUAUGUUCUAUGGCGAAUUAUAUAAGUUAACUUCUUCUUUUUUUGUUUACAAUUAGUUAAUAUUUAAAAAAGAUGUUAUACCUGCUAUAUGGACCAUGAGGUAUACCAUCUAUGUUGUUUAGUUUGCCUUAAUUUAUUUCUGUUUAGUUUUCAGCCAAGGUUAGAAUUUCUUAGGCUUGGCUAGUGGAACAUUAUUAAUUUUCAAGUUGAUUACAAAUAUGCAGUUGGGGAUAGGAUAGGUGAACUGUCUUAUACUUACUCCUAUUUUAUGAAUUUGAGGUGGGUUGUGGAGAUGUGGUAUUAGUCUGCUUGUGGUUUUGUAUUAUAGGCUAAUGGCACUCAAGACUUCCAUGAUAAACUGAUAUUUACAGAUUGAGAAACCCAUACUAUUGGUUACAAUUCCAAAAAUGUGCUUGAAAAUGCCUUAGGUCAGGUGCAUAUCGUUAUCCUUGUGCACUUGAUUGUGAGGUUGAUGUAGUGUCCCUCCUUAACAUAUAGAAGUUGUGGGUGUUUUUUUUUUUUUUUUUUUUUGUCUAGAAGUAAUAAUCGCUGCCCCCACACCGUUUCUGUGAAUUUCAUGUAACAAUUGGUGUAUUACUAGAGUGGAUAUCAUGAUGGUCUCAUAGCAAGAGAAGAAGCUGUAGCACAAGAGGGAUUUAAUAUUGGCUUUAAGGAAUCAGUCCUUGUUGGGUACAAAUGGGGUCUAGUUAGAGGUGAUACCAGGUAAAAGAAAACAAAAGAGGAAAAGAAUUUGAAUGCUCUAUUGCUUAUAGAGUUUUUAAUGAAAUUGCUAUAAGCAUAUGAUUAAAAAAGAAUUUAAAUGCUCUGUUGCUCAUAGAGUUUUUAAUGAAGUUGCUAUAAACAUGUGAUUAACUUCUUUUCUCUGCUACUUUUGUCUUCCUGUUUUGUCCAAUCUGCAUCCCUAUGAACUACCUUCACUUUAGUUCCUAAGGACUAGAAAGAGAGCAUUUAAAUUCUCAAUAUGGUAACCAAACUCUCAAAGACAUGGAUUGUAUGGUUGCUUUUCAUAAGGGUUUGACAACAUGGGCUAAGUGGGUGGAUUCUACUAUGAAUCAUGUGGCAAGGGAUUGAAAUGAGCUAGGGGUGACAAACUGUGAAAAUGAGACAAAACUCCUAAGUGGAUCAGUUAUCGAGGUGGAUUGCCCGAGGCAUUAUAUGUGGUGAAAGAUGUAUUAACCGGAAUGAGAAAACAUGUUCAUCUGCUGGACAUAACAACUUUAUCACAACUCACAAAAGAUGCACAUCCUGGCUUUUAUAAUGGCUUUAGGCGCAUGGGCUGUAACCAUUGGUGUAUUGCUGGACUUCCAGAUACUUGGAAUCAACUUUUUAUGCAUUCCUUAUAAUUUUCAUGCUUGUUCUGGUAUUUUAGUGUAUAAAAAUGAUCAUACGGUUUCUUAGGUCCGUCCUUCCAUAGAUCACCAUUUUUAAGGGAAUCAAGUUUAAAAACACGA